GACGAACGCUGGCGGCGUGCCUAAUACAUGCAAGUCGAACGCUGAAGGAGGAGCUUGCUCUUCUGGAUGAGUUGCGAACGGGUGAGUAACGCGUAGGUAACCUGCCUGGUAGCGGGGGAUAACUAUUGGAAACGAUAGCUAAUACCGCAUAACAGUAGAUGUUGCAUGACAUUUGCUUAAAAGGUGCAAUUGCACCACUACCAGAUGGACCUGCGUUGUAUUAGCUAGUUGGUGGGGUAACGGCUCACCAAGGCGACGAUACAUAGCCGACCUGAGAGGGUGAUCGGCCACACUGGGACUGAGACCCGGCCCAGACUCCUACGGGAGGCAGCAGUAGGGAAUCUUCGGCAAUGGACGGAAGUCUGACCGAGCAACGCCGCGUGAGUGAAGAAGGUUUUCGGAUCGUAAAGCUCUGUUGUAAGAGAAGAACGAGUGUGAGAGUGGAAAGUUCACACUGUGACGGUAUCUUACCAGAAAGGGACGGCUAACUACGUG
rnacentral:rRNA from 1 species